rnacentral:lncRNA from 1 species
CUUCUCUCUAGUUGGGGUGCCUGUGAAACCGGCAGGCUCUCUCCAAAUGCCUGGAUUCUGCUGGGGGAGUAAGAAGUCAGGAGUAGUUUGUCUGAUGGUAUUGGGAUCUGCUUUGCAAUUGCCAAGCGCUAAGGCACAAGCUGGCAGAUGUGCUGCGGCUCUGCUACGGGCGGCUCUGUCGCCUUCAGUCGCAGGCUGGUUCUUUGGGGGAAAGUUGUAUCCAAUAUUGGUGACUCCCGGGAAUAGUCUGUUUGUGUGCUACUUAAUGGUCUCUAGGCUUCCUUGUCUUGUAGAACCUUGUUAGAAAGGAGCCUUGGUGAUUAAGAGGCUAUGGAGUACACAGCCUUGCUUAGCAGAUGAGCCCUUAUCCAUUUCCCGUUUCCUUAAAAACGGCUAAUUGAUGGAUGCUGCAGAAAACAUGCACUCUGCUAAUAAGAUGCUGAUGACAAAAUAGGUAUCAGGAAAGGCAUUUACUGCUUAUGAGCACCAUCAGCUUUCUUUCGAGUGAGAUUGUGGCUUUGUAGUAAAGUUUUUUUUUAAGUAAUAUGCUAAUAGUUUUAUUCUAAAUCGGCCAGCGCUGAAUAUCUUCAGGAAAAUGGGUUCCAUGAGAAGUGACAUCCUCCUCGAAUCAAAAGAUUCUCAGGAUGAUGGAGUGAGUGAUGGAAUAGGUUGCCAACUGUAGUUACUCCACUCAGCACAGAAUGGCUGCGGGGAAAUAUAAUCAGACAUGCCCAAAGAAGUCUGCUUAGGGUGAAACAAAUACCUUUGAGGUUUAAAUCAGAAAGGAAGGAGAGACUGUUUCUACAGGUGUCAUACAAAAAUCAAUACUGAGCCAAGGAUUAUUGGAUCCCAUAGAACCACGGAGACUUGGUAGUGAAAUUCUUCCAAAGGCAGAUGGUGUUCCUAGGUUUGGAAAUAUAAAUCCCAUGGGAAGUCAGCUGAAGACCAUUUUAUGCAUCACUCAUCCUGUUAGAGCCCUGUGCUGUUCUGUCUCUCUAUAAGACUGGCUGAAACCACCACGGUUGUUUACAAUUUAUGCUCUAACUUUGGAUCACCUAGUUAAUACUCUAACUCCGAUUAUUACCAAAGACAAUGUUCUAUAAAAGAUAUUGUCUAUUAGAAGGAUGCUUCUGCAUUAUUAAUAAAAUCACAGGGAAAAUGCAACAUUUUGGAUGUCACAUCUGAUAAGUUGGCAGUUAAAGAACAGAAACAGCAAUAAGACUGCGUGGCUACAUUUUCCCAGUGCCACCAACUGGGAUUUAAGCUGACUAACAUUUUGAAAGCCCAGCCCAUUUCAUUCACAGCAGGAUGGCAGUGGGUGACUGAUCGUACCCGCCAGCUGGCUAAUGUCAUAAUUAACAAAGUUGCUACUACAUCUGCAAAGUUUAAUCGAAAAAUUUGCCAGUGAUAUGAUGGCCUUGUCACAGAGAUCACAAGGGACACGGAGUUGACUUUUGCUCAAGGUGGAACGACAGAGCUGUGUAGGCAAGAUGAGAAAUUGCGAACUUGUUCGGCCAAAGGAGGCUAAUAAUGAAGGGGCCGGGAAGGAGGCCAGUGCUACCAGGGUUAUCUCACAACCUCAGAUGCUGGAUAAGUCGACGGAGGCAGAAUCGCUUUGGGAUGACAUUCAGAAAGCCUGGAGUGAUUACUUGCAAGAGAAAAGCCUACCUAUUCUUUCCAAGGUGCAGGAAUAUUCCCCUGACCUGCUCAUCCAGUGGUCCAGUAAUGAAUUACUGGAGACCUGCCUUAGACAAAGAAUGCACUCGGAGCCCCAACACACCUAAAGCCAUGCUUUGAAGGAUCUGCCAAGCUCACUUUUAAUCAUGAGAAAGAAAUUACCCACACGGAGUCAGCAGAAAAUGAGAAAGUAGAGCUCGUGCUGUGAAUAAUUCCAGCAAGUGCCAAGGGGCUAGUUGAGGAAUGGCUUCAUGAGAACAUGCUCUAGGGGAACUAUUAAUAGCCCACCAGUCGGGUAGGCAGCAUUCAAUCCUUCUAUGCCUUCUUUCGCCACCUGUUGAGGUCUUUCUUCUGAAACAAAGAAGAAAUAGACAAAUCAGACUUGCCCUCUUGGAAAUGUGGUCCAGAUUUCUCUACUCCCAAGCUCCAAAAAAGGUAUACAUUGGAUGGGCUAGAUCAACUCCUCCUGAGAGCCAUAAAUCCGCCAAGAGUUGUUUUCCAUGUAAGGGUGUGGUACAAUGGGGAACACCUGAUGUUGGAGGAAAGCAGGAGGACUUUAGAGUGGAGUUGCAUUCUAAUCUCUCUGCCGCUUCAACUAUGUGACCUGGGGCAAAUGAUAUAAACUCUAUGAGCCUCUUUCCUUAUCUUUAAAAUGAAGAGAAGUAAUACCUACCUUGUAGGGCUGUUGUGAGGAUUAAAUGAAGUAAUGCAUACAGUGCCUAACAAAGUAUUUAACAUCAUAUUUUUUAAAAGCUCAUGAAAUAUUAGUUUUUCUUCCUUCCCCUCUUUCUAUUUUCUCUCCUGUUCCCUUUUCUCUCCCUCCUCUGCCCUCUCCUUCCUUCAGAUGUUAGUCUAAAACAGCACCUUGGAUCUAAGCAGCACCUUUGAGAAAGAAAAGACUGCUUCAAGAAUGUCUAGUUGCACCUCCUUUCCGUAUGUGGCCUAAAUGCCUAGGUUGGAUCAAUAGUUUAAUUUUUUUAUUGAACUGUUUAAUAUUGACUAUGGACUUACAUUCACUUUUACUGUUUUCUGUAUAUUUACUUUUGCUUGAAGUGUUUUAAUAUUGACUAUUUACCUCUGCUCAUUUUUAUUGAUUUUCUGUAUUUUUUCAAUGAAAAUUAUAAUAAAAAUUAUUUUUGUUA